rnacentral:siRNA from 1 species
UAGGUGUUGACCACUAAUUAAGC